rnacentral:rRNA from 1 species
UACGGGGGGAGCAAGCGUUGUUCGGAUUUACUGGGCGUAAAGGGCGCGUAGGCGGCCACCGCAAGUCAAUUGUGAAAUCUCCGGGCUUAACUCGGAAAGGUCAACUGAUACUGCGGGGCUAGAGUGCAGAAGGGGCAACUGGAAUUCUCGGUGUAGCGGUGAAAUGCGUAGAUAUCGAGAGGAACACCUGCGGCGAAGGCGGGUUGCUGGGCUGACACUGACGCUGAGGCGCGAAAGCUAGGGGAGCGAACGGG